UUUCCGUAGGUGAACCUGCGGAAGGAUCAUUACCGAGUGAUGGUCUCUCAGGCCCGACCUCCCACCCUGUGUUUUUGUGACCUUGUUGCUGUGGCGGGCCCGACUCGAUGAGAGGCCGCCGGAAGCUCACCGCUGUGGGCCCGUGCCCGUCAGGAGCCCCCCUAAAUUCUUAAUAAACCUGUCGUCUGAGUUAACGGAUAUAAUGAAAAAAAACUUUCAACAACGGAUCUCUUGGUUCUG
rnacentral:misc_RNA from 1 species